UGGGUUGUGGCUCAGUGGUAGAGUGCUUGCCUGGCAUGUGUAAGGCUCUGGGUUCUAUCCCCAGCACCACAU
rnacentral:tRNA from 1 species